ACAGUUCCUAAUUUGUCUCAAUAUUAAGUGAAAAAGGAAGUAGAAAGUGGCCCAGUUUGCAACUUAACUGGGACCAUAUAUGGUGUGGCCUGCCUGAUGGGUGAGGAGUUGAUUUGCCUGAGAUGCUUUACAUGGAGUUUCUGGUCAAGGAUGAAAGAAGGAAGUUUAUAGGUUAAAAGUGUGGGACGGAGAUGGGGUCAGCCUCUUGGGUUUAGUUAGAUCUGAGCCCUACAAGGGAAGAACCAUGGGCAGAGGCCGGAGGAGGUAUUUUAAAAAACUCCUGUAAAGCCAGGAAGGUCCUUCUCCUUCUUGGAGAACACAGUGUGGUUUCGACAGGCACUGACAAGUCUAAGGAAUCCAAAAGAGUGGCUCAGGCACACAGACAACUGACAAGUUUGGAAACUUUGGCCUUCUCACUGGAAGCACUGACAUCUGGACACAAAUAUAUACAGAGGGAAGACCAUGUGAAGGGACAAAUAAAUCAGCCACCUACAAAUCAAGGCGGGGAGCCUCAAAGGAAGCCAACCCUGCUGACUCCUUGAUCCCAGACUUCCAGCCUCCAGAACUUAAGGAGAAGACACUGCAUGGAGUUCUACUUUCGUGACCAUGUUCCUGGAACUGCACCCAAGAUGGGGAUCCGCUAAGAUGAAGAUCCACUUGCAGAUGAGUCAUAGCUAGCAGAUCCCUAAUGCUCCACCUCUGUCCACUGAUCCUAAUCCCUGCUGAGUUGAGGACUUUUCUCAAAAUGCCAUCCUUCCUUUAGAAUCUAUUCCCGACACCCUCUUUGGUCUUG